rnacentral:lncRNA from 1 species
AGACUACUAUUUAUACUAAUAAAAUAAAGAAGACACUUCUUUGACAAUUUUACCCUUAAUGAGGUAAGGACCUUGUUUGGUUGUCUUCUUUUGUGAAUUCUUGAAAAUAAAAUAAAGAAGACACUUCUUUGAAAAUGUUACCCUUAAUGAGGUAAGGGCCUUGUUUGGUUGUCUUCUUUUGUGAAUUCUUGAAAUUAUGAGAUGACCAUUUGCACAAAUGACCUCUUUCUUCUUUCUCUUCACUUAGAUGGACCUUCCACACAUUGUACUUCUUGAUUUUGUGUCCAUCAAGCUCCUCUAAUGCUUUUACGCGAUCCAUGCUAUCCAUGUUGUUAUCAUCCUCCCCUUCUUUAAAAGGAUUUGU